rnacentral:rRNA from 1 species
GUGGGGAAUAUUGCACAAUGGGCGAAAGCCUGAUGCAGCAACGCCGCGUGAGGGACGACGGCCUUCGGGUUGUAAACCUCUUUUAGUAGGGAAGAAGCGAAAGUGACGGUACCUGCAGAAAAAGCACCGGCUAACUACGUGCCAGCAGCCGCGGUAAUACGUAGGGUGCAAGCGUUAUCCGGAAUUAUUGGGCGUAAAGAGCUCGUAGGCGGUCUGUCGCGUCUACUGUGAAAACUGGAGGCUCAACCUCCAGCCUGCAGUGGGUACGGGCAGACUAGAGUGCGGUAGGGGAGAUUGGAAUUCCUGGUGUAGCGGUGGAAUGCGCAGAUAUCAGGAGGAACACCGAUGGCGAAGGCAGAUCUCUGGGCCGUAACUGACGCUGAGGAGCGAAAGCGUGGGGAGCGAACAGGAUUAGAAACCCUGGUAGUCC